ensembl:lncRNA
GGUUUAGUCCUGGUUUAGUCCUGGUUUAGUCCUGGUUUUAGGUGAAUAUUGUGAUUUAAAUGUUUAAAUUAACAGAAUGAUCCAGAGAUGAGAACCAUACAGACUCAAGCACAUUAGUCUGUUUAUAUUUAUAUAUUUUGUUAAACUGAUUCUGUGACCUGUAAACUCACAUUUGUCCUUUAAUCGUCUGUUGUGUUUCUGUUUCUGUAUCUGCUGUUCGCUCCUGGACGACGAGUUUGAAUCGACGAGAAAAGUUCAGACUAAAACUUUAAAACUCCAGAUUUGAGACGAACACGUGAAACCCAAAGGUCCAAAAGUGAAAGUGAAAACCUCGGCCUCUUUAAAUACUUGAAAAACUUUUGGAAGCGUCUUAAAACAUGCACAAUAAUCCUCCACGGCUCACACAAUCAUCACCAGCGUCGCCAUGACAACUAACCAUUUAAACCGAACAUCCCCCCGUGUGUCGUUUUCACCGCCCGGAAUGUUUCUCAGUAUCUUUAAUGCGCUGAUUACACUUCGAUUUGAGUUUGUUUUAAAUCGAAACAUCUUGAAAAAAAAACGUGUUCUUACUGUGAGCGAGGUCGCCUCUCCGCAGAUCUGACCUGUAACUCCAUCGGGUUGAGUCGCCCUCUUAUCUCCGAAGGAUUCAGACGGAGUUUAAUGCCGUACUGAGGAACACUCCAGACAAACAGCGAUAACAUCUCACAACUAGAAACGUUACAUAACUUCAGCUGCACGUCCCCUUUAGGACUGUAGACAAUCAGCCGCUAACUGGAGGCACUGCUCUGUCUGAGGCUCUGCUACUCAACUUUGAUCUGAGUUUAAACACAAGAGCUGAACUGCAACAGGUGAGAUGUGCUGUUAAAUAAGUCCCUCUCAAAUAACACUACUGUCACGAGCUAGCAUUAGCAUUAGCGUUAGCAUUAGCGUUAGCCAACAGUCACUCUCAUUUUUUGUGUAAAAUUUAAAUCACUUUUGGAUUUUUUUUCAAGGCUUUUCAAACUUAAAAUUUUCAAACUUUCGUGGCAGUGUUUGCUGAUGUGCACAUUACGUCACCAUGGUAACUGCUGAACAUUCCGCCAUAGACAUACAUGUAGAACCCCCCCCUCUGCGCGAUGUCGUGGUGAAGUUUCUGUUGUGCAUGUUUUAGGCAGUAAAAGCCUCCAGACUCGUCCCAAACUCGUCCAAAACUCGUCCAGGAUGCCCCGCCCCCUCCUCUGCUUCCUGCUUUUGUCAAACUCCAUCACUCUCCAGCGCCACCCAAGGUAACAAACUGGUAUUGAGGCCUUUUGGAUGGUUCCGUUUCAGUUUCAGUUUGGUGUUGUGUGUCCGAUGCCGUUGAGAUGGAAAAAUGCUCUUCUGUGGAUUCUUGUUUUGGCAUUAUGUUUAAAACAAAAAAAGAAAAAAACAAAACGUGUUGUUGAAUGUUGUACAGAGAUAGCACUAGAAAUGUUUUUGUGUUUAUAUUUUUUUGAGCGCCCAAACUUAAGCCACGCCCCCCUCUCCUCCUCGUCCCGGGGCAGACGGGACUGAAAACAUCUGCCCAAAUGUAACGGUCACAUGACUAAAAACUAACGAACCAUCAACUAAUCCUCCUUAUGUAAAGGUGCACUGUGGAACUUUCUGACGAGGGUCUGACAUGCGCUUGUUUCCAUGGAGACGUUAGCUCUUUGCCUGGAAAGUUCCACAGUAUGGCAUUAUUUGUAUCUGUGUUUCUUGUUUUUAUUCAACCACAUUUUUUGUUCAAGUUUAUCUGGAAAAAACAUUUUUCUCCACAGAUCUGACUCUAACUUAGCCUGGUAGAGAGAGAAGUUUAAUGCCAUACUGUGGAACAUUACAGGCAAAGCAAUGUCAUCUCCAUAGAGACGAGUGCGUGGCGUGCAUUUUACCAGAAAAGUGACGUAGAGCGUCUUUAAUAUGAGUGAACUUUGCACCUUUGAAUCGAGUCCAAACUUUAAGUUUCAUUUUGACAAAUAUUGCACUUAUGUUUUUAGGAGAAGUGACUUUGGGUCUAAACCUGGAACUGAACUAGGACUAAAACAGGACCAAACCAAGUCCAGGACCAAACCAGAUCUAUAGUGUAACUGCUCUCCCUGGGACCCAGUCCAGACCACAGACUGUUUAGAUAAAUGGACGUAGCUAACCCGCUAGCCACCGCCAAACAGGAAGUGAUGUCAUGUUGCACUUCCUGCUCCAUCGAGUUCACUUUCACUCGUCAUUUUGUCUUAAAUGAUGAAUCUUCUUUCCGCUCUCAGUAGCGUCAGCAACAGGUUUGAUUGACAGCGUUGCUAAGCACUGGUGUUACCUUCAACAGCCUCGCUCCUGAUUGGCUCUUUGGUUGCUAUGACACUCGUGGUCAGAGUUUCAGAUGUGUAACGCGGCUCACGCUCGCUCAGUCACUUCUUCACAGUCUGUGGUCUGGACCUGGGGGUCAGUGAGGGUCAGUGGGGGUCAGUGAGGGUCAGUGAGGGUCAGUGAGGGUCAGUGAGGGUCAGCGUGUGGUCACUGGUCACUGAUCACUGAAAAUUUGUUAAAUUCUAAAUUUUUAAUAAACACAGGGUCAAACUGCACUUUACUCAGUCACUUGUGCCAAAUUUAGAACAUGAAUCUUUAUGUUGAUGACGUAAUCUCACAGACCAAUCACAUGACUCCACAAUCACAGAUGAUUGAAACGAUCUGACUCGUUUACAUCUGUGACUGUGCAGGUUUAACGAGGAAAAUUAUGCAAAAUAUUGUGUCAAAUACGAAAAUAAAAGUGAGUCUUAAAGGUCCACAUGACACUGUCUCUGAUCAAAUGUUUCCUCAUCACAAACAGACCUGAAAACAAACUGAAAACGCUCUGUUCCACCUUGUGAUGUCAUCAUGUGGUGAUACAGGAAGUGCUCCACUGUGUUUUUAAACUCCACACACUUUCAUUUAUAGAAUCAUGUGGAUCAUUUCAGUCCUGGAGUUGUCUCUUAUCUCGACUGAACUAAAGGUAAAAGGAGGAGUUAACAUGAAAACUACCACUUGAUGACAUCACAAGGUAGAACAGAGCGUUUUGAGCUACUCCAGGUCUGUUUUUGAGGAGGAACUUUAUUAGAACAUGGCUUUACGCUACAAGAGUCAGUUUUGUGUGAUAAAGGACCUUUAAAAUCCUUUGUUCUUCCAAAAAUCAAGACUAAACCUAAUCAUAAUAAAAAUGUAUAAAUAUGAAUGAAUCAAAAUGUGAAAAAAGCACCUUAACUUGAAUCUCAUGUGAAUUUGUUGCAAACUUAAACUGAUCGGAGCCGUAUUUUUGGAGGAGAGGAGCCGUAUGUGGAGGAGAGGAGCCGUAUGUGGAGGAGAGGAGCCGUGGUGCAGGUCUGGGCCGUGUAGACUUCACAGUGAGG